rnacentral:tRNA from 1 species
UCCCUCUUAGCUCAGUUGGUAAAGAAUCUGCCUGCAGUGCAGGAGACCUAGGUUCGAUCCCUGGGUUGGGAA